rnacentral:rRNA from 1 species
UAGAGUUUGAUCAUGGCUCAGGAUGAACGCUAGCGGCAGGCCUAAUACAUGCAAGUCGGACGGGAUUGCAGUACAGCUUGCUGUACUGCAUGAGAGUGGCGCACGGGUGCGUAACGCGUGAGCAACCUGCCCAUAUCAGGGGGAUAGCCCGGAGAAAUCCGGAUUAACACCGCAUAACACAGUAUUUCCGCAUGGAUUUGCUGUUAAAUAUUUAUAGGAUAUGGAUGGGCUCGCGUGACAUUAGCUUGUUGGCGGGGUAACGGCCCACCAAGGCGACGAUGUCUAGGGGCUCUGAGAGGAGAAUCCCCCACACUGGUACUGAGACACGGACCAGACUCCUACNGGAGGCAGCA